CCCUUAGAUGUCCUGGGCCGCACGCGCGUUACACUGAUGCAUUCAACGAGCUUAUAACCUUGGCCGAGAGGCCUGGGCAAUCUUGUUAACGUGCAUCGUGAUAGGGAUAGAUUAUUGAAAUUAUUAAUCUUGAACGAGGAAUUCCUGGUAAACGCAGAUCAUCAAUCUGCAUUGAUUACGUCCCUGCCCUUUGUACACACCGCCCGUCGCUCCUACCGAUUGAAUGCUCAGGUGAGCCAUUCGGACUUUCAUCAUGCUGGUUUCCAGUUUUGAUGAAGGAAAGUCUUGCGAACCUUAUCAUUUAGAGGAAGGAGAAGUCGUAACA
rnacentral:rRNA from 1 species